rnacentral:rRNA from 1 species
GUCAGCUCGUGUCGUGAGAUGUUGGGUUAAGUCCCGCAACGAGCGCAACCCUUGAUCUUAGUUGCCAGCAGGUAAGGCUGGGCACUCUAAGGUGACUGCCGGUGACAAACCGGAGGAAGGUGGGGAUGACGUCAAAUCAUCAUGCCCCUUAUGACCUGGGCUACACACGUACUACAAUGGCCGGUACAACGGGCCGCGAAGCCGCGAGGUGGAGCCAAUCCUAAAAAGCCGGUCUCAGUUCGGAUUGCAGGCUGCAACUCGCCUGCAUGAAGUCGGAAUUGCUAGUAAUCGCGGAUCAGCAUGCCGCGGU